rnacentral:rRNA from 1 species
AGUAUUAAAGGUCCUGCCUGCCCAGUGAACAUCUUUAAACGGCCGCGGUAUUCUAACCGUGCAAAGGUAGCGUAAUCAUUUGUCUUCUAAAUAAAGACCUGUAUGAAUGGCUAAAUGAGGAUAACCCUGUCUCCUACAGCCCAUCAGUGAAACUGAUCUUCCAGUCCAAAAGCUGGGAUAUUAACAUAAGACGAGAAGACCCUGUGGAGCUUAAAAUUACCUACUAAUACCUAAAGUAACUAGUAUAAAAUUUUAAGUUGGGGCGACUUCGGAAUAAAACAAAACUUCCGAGCACAGAACCACCACUUCUAACCAAGGCAAACAAGCCAAAGAAAAAGUUGACCCAGUCACACUGACCAACGAACCAAGUUACCCCAGGGAUAACAGCGCUAUCUUCUUCGAGAGUCCAUAUCGACAAGAAGGUUUACGACCUCGAUGUUGGAUCAGGGCACCCCAAUGGUGCAACCGCUAUUAAAGGUUCGUUUGUUCAACGAUUAACAGC